AAGUUUUUAGUAUAUUUUGUAUGAUUGAUUGCAAAUCAUUAGGUUUAUAAGCUUU
rnacentral:tRNA from 1 species